CCCUUAGAUGUUCUGGCCAGCACGCGCGCUACAAUGGUCUUCGCAAACGGAUGCAUUCUCGAAGGAGAAUGCCAAUCUUGGAAUCUAUGCCUUGGUCGGGACAGUUGCUUGCAAUUUUUCGACUCGAACCAGGAAUUCCUUGUAAUCGUGAUUCAUCACAUCACGAUGAAUACGUCCCUGCCCUUUGUACACACCGCCCGUCGCUCCUACCGAUCGAAGAGUUAGGUGAAUUGUUUUGAUCGAUAAGAUUUGACUAUGGUCAACUCUCGUUGUGAAAUUCUGUGAAUCUGACUGUUUAGAGGAAGGAAAAGUCGUAACA
rnacentral:rRNA from 1 species